rnacentral:rRNA from 1 species
UACGGAGGGUGCAAGCAUUAAUCGGAUUUAUUGGGCGUAAAGGGCGCGUAGGCGGAUCUAUAAGUCAGAUGUGAAAUCCCGGGGCUCAACCCCGGAACGGCAUUUGAUACUGUAGGCCUAGAGGGUAGGCGGAGAAAAUGGAAUUCCACAUGUAGCGGUGAAAUGCGUAGAUAUGUGGAAGAACACCGGUGGCGAAGGCGAUUUUCUAGCUUAUACCUGACGCUGAGGCGCGAAAGCAAGGGGAGCAAACAGG